rnacentral:rRNA from 1 species
UACGAAGGGGGCUAGCGUUGUUCGGAUUUACUGGGCGUAAAGCGCGUGUAGGCGGAUUGGUAAGUUGGGGGUGAAAGCCCAGAGCUCAACUCUGGAACUGCCUUCAAGACUGUCAGUCUGGACUCAAGGAGAGGCAAGUGGAAUUGCGAGUGUAGAGGUGAAAUUCGUAGAUAUUCGCAGGAACACCAGUGGCGAAGGCGACUUGCUGGACUUGUAGUGACGCUGAGACGCGAAAGCGUGGGGAGCAAACAGG